UACGGGGGGGGUAAGCGUUGUUCGGAAUUACUGGGCGUAAAGGGCUCGUAGGUGGCCCCAUAAGUCAGACGUGAAAUCCCUCGGCUCAACCGAGGAACUGCGUCUGAGACUGCGGGGCUUGAAUCCGGGAGAGGGAUGCAGAAUUCCAGGUGUAGCGGUGAAAUGCGUAGAUAUCUGGAGGAAUACCGGUGGCGAAGGCGGCAUCCUGGACCGGCAUUGACGCUGAGGAGCGAAAGCCAGGGGAGCAAACGGG
rnacentral:rRNA from 1 species